rnacentral:rRNA from 1 species
CCUACGGGUGGCAGCAGUGGGGAAUAUUGCACAAUGGGCGCAAGCCUGAUGCAGCCAUGCCGCGUGUGUGAAGGAGGCCUUCGGGUUGUAAAGCACUUUCAGCGGGGAGGAAGGCGUUAAGGUUAAUAACCUUGGCGAUUGACGUUACCCGCAGAAGAAGCACCGGCUAACUCCGUGCCAGCAGCCGCGGUAAUACGGAGGGUGCAGCGUUAAUCGGAAUUACUGGGCGUAAAGCGCACGCAGGCGGUCUGUCAAGUCGGAUGUGAAAUCCCCGGGCUCAACCUGGGAACUGCAUUCGAAACUGGCAGGCUAGAGUCUUGUAGAGGGGGGUAGAAUUCCAGGUGUAGCGGUGAAAUGCGUAGAGAUCUGGAGGAAUACCGGUGGCGAAGGCGGCCCCCUGGACAAAGACUGACGCUCAGGUGCGAAAGCGUGGGGAGCAAACAGGAUUAGAUACCCCGGUAGUC